rnacentral:rRNA from 1 species
AAGGAUCAUUACCGAGUGUUUUUUGGCAUUUUUUGCUAAGAAUCUCCCACCCAUUGUUUAUGUGAUGUUGUUAUGGCAGCUUUGGUAGGAAAGCUUUUCUGUCCUCUGGAUUGGGAAGCGACUGGUUUUGUGUUUCAGAACUGGUUUUUGCCUGCCAGAGUAUAAAACUCUGAUAAUAUUUUGAAUGUCUGAAAUUUGAAAAUAAAUCAAAACUUUCAACAACGGAUCUCUUGGUUCUGGCAUCGAUGAAGAACGCAGCGAAAUGCGAUAAGUAAUGUGAAUUGCAGAAUUCAGUGAAUCAUCGAAUCUUUGAACGCACAUUGCGCCUCUUGGUAUUCCUUGAGGCAUGCCUGUUCGAGCGUCGUUUAGACCAUAAGGCUUUGCCUUGCGUUGAAUGACUUGGUUCCGAUGGAGCCAAGGAUUCUAAACUGAUUGGCGUCUGAUUUAGCCGAAAGCACAGCGAUAUGUGGUAGACGGUUAAAGAAGUAAUAUUGCCAGUUUUUUUCAAAGGUCGACCUCGGAUCAAGCAAGACUACCCGCUGAACUUAA